AUCAGCCUCUCAUCAAAACCGUUCAGACGCAGCACGCGUCUCGUAUAUAAUAAAUAUCCAAUCAAUCAAUGACACAACUUUCAAAUAUUUUUUUUUUUUUUUUAUCGAAAAGAUAGUUUGAGAAAGAAUUAAUUCGAAGAACGUUUAACAUUGUUUCACCGUUGACAGAUAUGAAUAAAAUUAUUAUUUCAGCGAUGAAACUUCUAAUAUAUUAAUCUUAGUUAUACGAUAAAAAUUAUAAAUAUAUGUAAUUAACGAGUUUCGAACUUGAAAUUUAUCGCACGUGAGAGGUUAAGUUUCCAUCGAUUCAGGAUUUGUACGUUAAAUCGUCCAUAAUAUAUUUUAGAUAUUCGUAUAAUGUUAUUUACGAGAUGGAAUACAAAAAAAAAUGAAUUUGAAAUUUCAAUUCAAUUAUUCUUCUGAAAAAUAUAUGUAUAAUUAGUACGUGAAACAUACGUAAAUCAUAAAUAUGACUAAUUUAACCUCUAACCAAAUUAAAGUAUCAAGAUUAACUUGGAUCCGGAGCUUCGAAAUCUGGACCACGAUUGUGAAAAUUGGCGCGACAUUUAACAUGUGAAAAGCCGAAAUUAAUAGUACGGCAUUAUGUAAGCGGGCUUUAAAUUAUUAGUAACUGUGAUGCGAAACAAGCCGACAUUUCCGUGGAUUCUACGCGAAAAUGUGUAAACUCACAAUUGAUUUAUAUAACUUUUGCUAACAUUUGUUGCAAUUUGUUAGCAUUAAAACAGCAUUAUAUUAUAUCAACAUUCUUUUGACUGAAAAAUCACAAUAUAAAAAAAUUAAUGUACGUUUUACACGCAUAAUGGCGAUGCAUUAAGUCCUGAUUUCAAUGCUAUACUUAUAAAUAAGAGUUGUAUACCAAAAGAAUGUGUUACAUAAAUAGAACCAUUUCAUUUCAUCUAAAAAAAAAAA
rnacentral:lncRNA from 1 species